GUACACGCUGUGACUAGCAUAUCAAUAAGCGGAGGAAAAGAAACUAACAAGGAUUCCCCUAGUAACGGCGAGCGAAGCGGGAAGAGCUCAAAUUUGAAAUCUUAAAGGGUUUCCCUUUACGAAUUGUAGUUUAAAGAAGUGUUUUCUGUUGAGGUUUUGGUAAAAGUUCUUUGGAAUAGGACAUCAUAGAGGGUGAGAAUCCCGUAUUUGACCUUUACUUUCAACUUUGUGAUACACUUUCAAAGAGUCGGAUUGUUUGGGAAUGCAGUCCAAAAUGGGUGGUAAAUUUCAUCUAAAGCUAAAUAUUGGCGAGAGACCGAUAGCGAACAAGUACCGUGAGGGAAAGAUGAAAAGAACUUUGAAAAGAGAGUUAAACAGUACGUGAAAUUGUCAAAAGGGAAGCGUUUGACACCAGUGUUGUUUUUCUGAAAAUCAAUUAAAGAACUGUUUAUGCUAAGUUGUUUAGACUUUAUCAGCUAAUCUGUUUAGUUUUGAGCUUUUCUUUAAUGCACUUUUCAGUUAACAAGUCAACAUCAAUUUCUUUUGCUGUAAAAAAGCUUGAGGAAGGUGGCUUGAGAUUCGUCUUAAGUGUUUAUAGCCUCUUGCCUAUGCAGUCGGAGAGAUUGAGGUCUGCAGCGUAGAUCCUUCGGGGCUAAAUGCAUUUGUGCUAAGUUAUAACAUUUUAUAGACAACUUGUUGACUAUGAUUUGUCUUGUAGCUUACUCGCUUAUGUUAUUUUACCUACGCUUAGGAUGUUGACGCGCGUGUGUGCGUG
rnacentral:rRNA from 1 species